UUUUAGGCUCUAUCACAAUAGAUGACUUCACCAGAAUCAAAUCAAAUGUUCUGUGUUUUACACUCAAUGUCAUCCUCACGCAAGAUUUUGGCCAGACACAGAACACUCCAGGUCCUGCUGAGCACUGCUGUGAUUUCAGUGGGACCCCGAGUCAAGGUAAGCAAGAAGACAGAAGCAUGGUCUCAGUAGUGAUCCAGGUGUUAACAGCAUCCAGAUGUGCCCUGACUCAAAAGCACUCCACAGAGCUCAUGGGAAGGAGAGUGGCAGUCAUUUGGCAUCCUGACUGUGAACAGCUGGGGGCACCUCUGCCUUGGGCAGAUUUGCAAAAUGUCAGCAGGAGAGGGACAGACAGAAGCUCUUGAUCAAUAAGAUGCAGGGCAACGAAAGGUAAAGCUAGGCCUAAAUGAAGUAUAUUUUCCCUUCAUCUUGGGUUCUGUUGUGCUUUGCAUUUUUGGAGUGAAUGAGAAGAAUUAUCAGCAGAGAUUCUCAAGCCUCACAUGGUGGAGCAGUGUCUCCUGUGAUCUGUGUUAUCUGGGGCGCUUUCAACAGACCUCUUGGGUGUAAAUGUGUGUCUAGCAAAUGACCCAGUACAGCUGGUAUGACAUUUUCCAUAUGAAACACCUUGAGAAGGACUCAUAAAGCAGAAGGUAAUGGCCACUUUUGGAUCAUGGAAAAGGCCCAGGGACAAGCAAACUCUUUCUCAAAGAAUAUUUCCAGUUCAUUUCAGUAAGCAAAGGUGUGACCCUGUGCAGCUUACAUGUAGCAGUCUCUUGUCAACAUAAAUAUGGACUUAUGUCCCUCUGACAUUUGACUGACAUUUAAUAUGAAGUUCUCCAGGAUGAUAUUUGUCUUUGUGUCUCCAGUUUAUAAUGUGCUUGCUUUUAAUGAUCUUUGUCUUUGUAUCUCCAGUUUAUAAUGUGCUUGCUUUUAAUGAUGUCCUAAUCAUACAUGAAACAUCAAAAUCCUGAUAUGCAGAUGCUACAAAAUAACUCUAAUUACUAUGAUGAAAUAUUAUAGUUUUUUACUUGAGUUGAACUAAACACUUCACGCUCAUUUUACUAAACAGUGUACAGUUUGUAGGAUUUCUCAAAUCUCAUUAUGUAAACUGCUUAUGAAAAUAACAAAGCAGCAGGGAAUUGCAGUAUAAUGACCUUCCUCCAGUUAAUGAGUAUUGUUAUUUGUUAAAAAUUGUGCUGGUUCAGUUAUUCUGUGGCUUUGUUCUUUGACCUUCCAUAUCAAGUAAGAAAUGCUCAAUUAAUUGAAAAAUAUGGAUAAUUCUGAAACCAAUAUAUAAGGCCAAUGAAUAAGAGGACGUACUUUUAUUUACGUACUAAUUCAGGUUUUAAUUACAGUUAGGCCUAGAUGCAUUAAUAUGCCCAAACACAAGCACAGGCACACAGCACACAAGUAUGCACUUUCACUGGGUUAACAUUUUAUCAGGUUUGGUUUUUUUCUUGAAGGUGUUGUGUCUGUAAGAUUUCUGUGUCCAACUACUUGAGACCUUCCAGUCAAUACCCAUUGCCUGCUGUCCCUGAAACCAUCAAAGUCUGACAUAAGGUGUUAUAGUAAUAAUUUUUGUAUUCUUUUUGCAAUAGCCUGCACUAAAAUGUUCUCAAAUAAAUAUGGAAGUUUUCAA